GACUUGCUGGGGUACACGAGUGGCGAACGGGUGAGUAACACGUGGGUGACCUGCCCCGCACUUCGGGAUAAGCCUGGGAAACUGGGUCUAAUACCGGAUAGGACCGCACCGUGAGGGUGUGGUGGAAAGUUUUUCGGUGUGGGAUGGGCCCGCGGCCUAUCAGCUUGUUGGUGGGGUAAUGGCCUACCAAGGCGGCGACGGGUAGCCGGCCUGAGAGGGUGGACGGCCACAUUGGGACUGAGACACGGCCCAGACUCCUACGGGAGGCAGCAGUGGGGAAUAUUGCACAAUGGGCGGAAGCCUGAUGCAGCGACGCCGCGUGGGGGAUGACGGCCUUCGGGUUGUAAACUCCUUUCACCAUCGACGAAGGUUUUCUGACGGUAGAUGGAGAAGAAGCACCGGCUAACUACGUGCCAGCAGCCGCGGUAAUACGUAGGGUGCGAGCGUUGUCCGGAAUUACUGGGCGUAAAGAGCUCGUAGGUGGUUUGUCGCGUCGUCUGUGAAAUUC
rnacentral:rRNA from 1 species